UUCACCUUUAAAUCAUCCCCUGGCGUCACCUCUGUCUGACGAGACCUUUGAAGUGAUGGUGAGCUAAUGUAGUUUCCUGAUGAGAAGCAGUUUAUAACCACGGACAGACCAUCCCUACUCCAGUACAUUCAGGACAGAGUUAAGCAGCGAAAUGUAGGAGCAGGGCUGCUAUACCUCCGAUAUCUGUUCCAAGGCAAUCUUCUCAUCACAGAUGUGGCAGGACUGCUAACAGGUGUCUGGGCUCUGUGCAUCUUCAUCUAUGAUGUGAGUUUUGAGUGAGACCAACUAUGACAGAUAAUCCCAGGAGCAUUUCUCAGGUUGCUUUGUUCGCUUCUCCUUUGCUCCAUGGAUACUAGAAGAAGGUGUCAAAUCAGCUGGAACUGUGUUAAACAGGUAAGUUACAGGCUGGCUGAGGUGGGUUCUUGGCAAUCUA
rnacentral:lncRNA from 1 species